rnacentral:rRNA from 1 species
CAGGGCUUUCGUCUUGUAAUUGGAAUGAUGGUGAUGUACAACCUCACCAGAGUACCAAUUGGAGGGCAAGUCUGGUGCCAGCAGCCGCGGUAAUUCCAGCUCCAAUAGCGUAUAUUAAACUUGUUGCAGUUAAAAAGCUCGUAGUUGUAUUUCAGCCUCGCGUUUUUUCCCUGGUUUUGGGUCUUUUCGCUGGCUUUUUUUUUACUUUGAGAAAAUUAGAGUGUUUCAAGCAGACUUUUGUCUUGAAUACUUCAGCAUGGAAUAAUAGAGUAGGACCUUGGUUCUAUUUUGUUGGUUUUGAGCCUUGGUAAUGGUUAAUAGGAACGGUUGGGGGCAUUCGUAUUUAACUGUCAGAGGUGAAAUUCUUAGAUUUGUUAAAGACGAACGACUGCGAAAGCAUUUGCCAAGGACGUUUUCAUUAAUCAAGAAC